UACGUAGGGUGCAAGCGUUGUCCGGAAUUAUUGGGCGUAAAGAGCUCGUAGGCGGUCUGUCGCGUCUGCUGUGAAAACUCAGGGCUUAACCCUGAGCUUGCAGUGGGUACGGGCAGACUAGAGUGCGGUAGGGGAGACUGGAAUUCCUGGUGUAGCGGUGAAAUGCGCAGAUAUCAGGAGGAACACCGGUGGCGAAGGCGGGUCUCUGGGCCGUAACUGACGCUGGAGGAGCGGAAAAGCCAUGGGGGAGCGAACAGG
rnacentral:rRNA from 1 species